rnacentral:rRNA from 1 species
UCGUUAACGAACGAGACCUUAACCUGCUAAAUAGAUACGCGAUCCUUUCUGGAUCGUGCGAUCUUCUUAGAGGGACCCUCGGUAUCUAGCCGGAGGAAGUUUGAGGCAAUAACAGGUCUGUGAUGCCCUUAGAUGUCCUGGGCUGCACGCGCGCUACACUGACGGAGGCAUCGAGCUUAUAACCUUGUCCGACAGGAUUGGGUAAUCUUUGAAACUCCGUCGUGAUGGGGAUAGAACAUUGCAAUUAUUGUUCUUCAACGAGGAAUUCCUAGUAAGUGCAUUUCAUCAGAAUGCGCUGAUUACGUCCCUGCCCUUUGUACACACCGCCCGUCGCUAAUACCGAUUGAAUGGAUA